rnacentral:rRNA from 1 species
CCUCCUAAAGAGUAACGGAGGAGCACGAAGGUUGGCUAAUCCUGGUCGGACAUCAGGAGGUUAGUGCAAUGGCAUAAGCCAGCUUGACUGCGAGCGUGACGGCGCGAGCAGGUGCGAAAGCAGGUCAUAGUGAUCCGGUGGUUCUGAAUGGAAGGGCCAUCGCUCAACGGAUAAAAGGUACUCCGGGGAUAACAGGCUGAUACCGCCCAAGAGUUCAUAUCGACGGCGGUGUUUGGCACCUCGAUGUCGGCUCAUCACAUCCUGGGGCUGAAGUAGGUCCCAAGGGUAUGGCUGUUCGCCAUUUAAAGUGGUACGCGAGCUGGGUUUAGAACGUCGUGAGACAGUUCGGUCCCUAUCUGCCGUGGGCGCUGGAGAACUGAGGGGGGCUGCUCCUAGUACGAGAGGACCGGAGUGGACGCAUCACUGGUGUUCGGGUUGUCAUGCCAAUGGCACUGCCCGGUAGCUAAAUGCGGAAGAGAUAAGUGCUGAAAGCAUCUAAGCACGAAACUUGCC